GAUGAACGCUGGCGGCGUGCUUAACACAUGCAAGUCGAACGGAAAGGCUCCUGCUUGCAGGGGUACUCGAGUGGCGAACGGGUGAGUAACACGUGGGUGAUCUGCCCUGCACUUCGGGAUAAGCCUGGGAAACUGGGUCUAAUACCGGAUAGGACGAUGGUUUGGAUGCCAUUGUGGAAAGUUUUUUCGGUGUGGGAUGAGCUCGCGGCCUAUCAGCUUGUUGGUGGGGUAAUGGCCUACCAAGGCGUCGACGGGUAGCCGGCCUGAGAGGGUGUACGGCCACAUUGGGACUGAGAUACGGCCCAGACUCCUACGGGAGGCAGCAGUGGGGAAUAUUGCACAAUGGGCGCAAGCCUGAUGCAGCGACGCCGCGUGGGGGAUGACGGCCUUCGGGUUGUGAACUCCUUUCGCUAGGGACGAAGCGCAAGUGACGGUACCUGGAGAAGAAGCACCGGCUAACUACGUG
rnacentral:rRNA from 1 species